CGUAGACUUUAUACACAGAUAUCUAUACUAUAAAGCGGUGGUUUUUAAACUUUUUGUGUCCACGGCUCUUCUGAUUUUGAAAUCCCAAUUAGCGGCUCACUUACGAAUAAUGAUUACAAUAUAAAUUAAAAUAAAUCAAUUUAAUGUAUUACUCUACUAUAUUUACGAUGGACACGACUCGCUUGAUAUAAAACCACGACGCCUCUGGGAGUCGCGACGCACUGGUUGAAAACCACUGCUUUAAAGUAUUAACCGUGAUCAUUGAUAUUAGGUACCCAAGGUUUAUAGAUGGUAAUAUAGACUAUCUAAAAACAUUGUAUAAUUAUUUACUUACAGAUCUUAUCUAUACUUCAAGCCCG